AAUCAGGCCCACAAGAAGAAUGGCCAGUAGCCCACGGAGACAACCCAGAGGGCGGAAUGAUCCACCCCAUGUCCAAAAACCUUUCUUGCAGAGCUCAGAACAGAGAAAAGGAGAUGCCUGGUUAUUACAUCUCCCAGCCCCACCUACUGGGGCGGUCAUGGAGAAAUGACAGCGGAGUAGGCCCAAGAGACAGGUGAGUUUUUGGAAUCAAAGUCCUAGGGUGGAAAGGAGGGGGAGGCAUUUUGAGUGGCGCAGGAGAUGGCUCAAGUCCCAGCUCUGCCACUCACUGACCUGACAACCUUGGGUGACUCAUUCACCCUCAUUUUGUCUUGCCUUUUGCAUCCUCGAGCUGGGACAGUUAACAACACUUCGCUCAAAGGAUUAUGAGGCUUAACUGGGUUGAGGGUGUGUUGAGCACAGUGUCAAUACAUAGCUGCUACUGUUGAUCUCACGGGAGGUGGGACACAGGAAAGGGAAGGAACCAGCUUUCUAGGUGUUUUCCAUACUUGCUUGUGUUUGGAUGAGAAGUGAGGGAAAUGCCCCGAUGACAGAGAAAUGGGUAACAGGACGAGUCCGGGAGAGAAGAGCCCCUGGGCUGCAUUCUCUGGAGAAAGACUUUCCUUCUCCGUGUUGCUUACUAAGGGGCAUUUCCCCCCACAGUUUCCUCAGGCCUGACGUACCAUGUUAGGAACACCAGUUCCUGGCAGGGGGUGGGGAUGGCCGCCAGAGUGGAGAGGACAGGUAACGUAAGAGUGAAGGGCAGGGAGAUGGCUGAGGAGAGGGGGUGGGAGAGAGAGAGCAGAAGGUGAGAAACCCAGGGGACCCCUACAGAACAGACAGAACUUCUGACAGCAGGGCAGGAAUGGAGACACGGUUUUCGGCCAGGCCACCAGGGUCCUGAUGAGAGUCCCGGGUCUGAGGAGGCCAGCCUCUUGCUGUCUCUGCGGCAGCUCCUGGGAGACAGAGGCUGAGUGGUCCCCCAGGCUCCCUUUUGUCUCUCCCUAGAUGGCCCACGCCAGCGAGCCCCUCCUGACCCACCAAACGUGGGCUCAGCGUGAGUUCCUCCUCCCCAGUGAGUCCUGGGAGUGGCCCGGCUUCACCCGGCAGGCCCACCACCGGCUGGCCCUGAAGCCGCCGCCCUGCACGGAAGUCAAGUCUGAGGUGCGUCGCCGACUAAUCUACCCUUCGAAGGACACAGCACAGCACACCUGGGGCUUCCACACGUGGCUUGAUGUGGGCCGUUUGCCCGCCACCUUUCCCACCAGGCCCGACAGGCCCUAUGAUAGCAACGUGUGGCGCUGGCUGACGGACCCCAGGGCCCAUGGCUGCCCCCCAGCAGAGCCCCCCAUCCUCCCUCCCUCCUGGAUGGGUCAGAACAGCUUCCUGAGCUUCAUCUGCUGUACUCCUAUCUUCGUGGACGAGAACAGGAAGAACCAGGUGCUUGUCAGGACGAUACAGGAACUGAGAGAGCUGGAGAAACUCAAGCUGAGGAGCGAAGUGAGGGCACCUCCACUCGACACCAAGGGCAACAUCCUGUGCCCAAAGAACUUCAAGAAGUACCGGCACAUCUCAGCUGGUGGAAGGUUUGAGCCCCGAGGCCUCCAACUCAUGCCCAACCCACUUCCCAGUGGUUUUGCCAGGGGCUGGCUCUGCCCGAACCCUCUGCCUCAUUACCGGGAGAAGGUGCUAAAACUGGCCUUGCUGCCCAGCGCACCCCUGAGCCAGGACCUUGUGAGGAAUUACCAAACCCUGAUGGAGAACCGGCUUGCCUUGCCCCUCUGUCAUCUCUCCACAGCACCACCUGGUAAAACCUUAGCAAGGAAGAAAGAGAAGACCUAGACAGAUCUAAAGAGCCUCCAUCUAGGCGAGGACUGUGGUGGGCUACAGUGUUCUCAGCCAGUACACCGGCAGCAGGAAGCCUUUGGGGUGGCUGAAGGACUGGCUUCUGCACAACAGAGCCUCGCCACCAUCCCUCCAGCUGCAAGCCACCUCUGUCCCCCAGGCUCCUGGAGACUCUAUUGAAACUCUUAAUUAUUAUCUGUCUUCCUUGGAGGACUCUCUCAUAGCAGGUGGGAAGAUUGAGUAGGGUAGAGCAGGGACAGCAGAGGGGGAUCCAGUUUUUUUUUUUUUUUAAGAUUUUAUUUAUUUAUUUGAGAGAGAGAGAAUGAGAGAGAGAGAGCACAUGAGAGGGGGGAGGGUCAGAGGGAGAAGCAGGCUCCCUGCCGAGCAGGGAGCCCGAUGCGGGACUCGAUCCAGGGACUCCAGGAUCACGACCUGAGCCGAAGGCAGUCGCUUAACCAACUGAGCCACCCAGGCGCCCAGGGAUCCAGUUUUUAGGGACAGAAUGAGGAGUGGGGAGGAAGAAGGGGUGUGUGUGUGUGUGUGUGUAUUGGAGUGGGGGAUGAGGCACUGUAAGCAAGGUGGCUAUGAAAUUACCUUGACUCCCAUAACCCAUUUGGAACAAAACUGGGAUUGGUCAGGGUACAGGAAGCUUCUGAGGCAAAAUAACCUCGAUUCCCUACCUCCCUAGACCAUGUGAUGUCUGGACAAAGACCAGAAGCAACUCUGCUGGGUUGCUGUUCCCCCGCAGGGUUUGGGAGCAGAGGUCAGGCCAAGACUGGUGCUAGAGAAUGGAAAAGUCAGGGCUGAAGAAGGCUGGCCAGGACUCUGCAGAGGGACAGGAGUGGAGCAAAGUAGAGAUUCAAGACCCAGACCAGUCCAGGGGCUGCUAGCCUCCCGUCAGGAUUUCCACCCGACCCACCACCUUUCUGCUCAGCUCUCUGGAUAGCAAUCUCCUUCCUCUUGGCAAGGGGGACUACAGGAUCAUCAGAGGCCUUCUCGUCCACGGGCCAGCCUGAGAUGCAGAAGCAAGACUCCUGAAAUUCCUGAGCUGCAUUGGGCUGUGGAGCUCUGAGGGACAGCAGUAGUAUCCAGACCCCCUCCUGGGCCUGGGGACUCUUGCAAGGCGAUCCCCAGCUCAGCCUGCUGGCAGCCGUGAACACCACCCCCCUCACCCCGUCCCACAUACACUAAUAAAUAUGGAGUUCUUGAAAGCCUUUGUUGGGGUGGAGCAGGGGAUUGCUCUCCCCGGCCUGCUUUGAAGAUCUACUCUUCCACCACAACUUUCGAGGGGAAGCAGAGUGAACAUUCCUCCCCCAACAUACCCAGCACACCAAUCCCAGAACACCCCGUGCUCUGCUGACUGGCACGAGCUUCAUGGACACUAAUUAAUCCCAGCACAGAGGCCUCAGAGCCUUUCUGGGUCAACACCUCCCCUUCCGCAACCUCCCUCUGCCUCAGACAGGUAUUAGUCUCAUGAGCCUGAGUGACCAGGGCCAGGGGGACGGUAGGGGGUCAGUGUGUGUCGGAAGCUGUGGGGCUGGGAACCCCUGGAGGGGGGGUGCAGGGCCAGCCACGCUGUCAACCAUGAUCUUCAGUCUUCAUCUGGCUGUCUGCCAGCCUUGUCCCGUCUAAUUGCCAGCCCUCUAAAAGCCCCACUGCUGCUCCCUGAGGUGACAAAGCAGACAUCCUUUCUCCCCCAGACUCACUUCCCACCUUCCUUAGGACCCUCUGGCCUUUUUGUGUCUACUCAUCGCUGACUCGCUUGCUCCAAGCCCUUCAUCUUCUUGUUUCUCUAUCAGCCUCCAAGCCCUCUCCUACACGUGCUGUCCACUGAACCACAGACCUUCACUUAUUUACUAUACAAAUAGUUGCUUCUUCCUAUUUAUCAUCAUAACUAGUGGUUUCGGUGGCCGUUCAUAUAGUUGCCCAUCUCACGGUAAUCUCAAGCCGACACACUCUCUGCAGGUCCCAGGACAGAACCUUACAAACACCUCCAUGUUGUUGCAUCUUGCCAUUGUUCCAAGCUGAAGGUCAAGGUUUUGCCGGAUGGCUCCCCUUAGCCUACCACCAUUCUCCCCGGAUGUUCACUCAACACUGACACUAGGUAUCAUACAUGGUUCCUAGCAAAUAGUCAGUGACUUCUUUGGCAUGAGUAUCACUAGGAAAUGGAGGUCAUGGCCAGAGGUGCCAAGGGCCGGCCCAAAGCUUCAGCGAGGAGAGAGGGGGAAAUGGAGGAAAAUGGAAGCAGGAAAGAAAGCAGAUAGACACAGGAGGGAAGAGGAGAAGUGCUGAAGCCAGAGGAAAGGCAAAGCAGGAGUCUCUGAAGCAACAAGGUCCAGCAUGGGUGGAGGCGCUGGGCAGCUUUGUCAGAUCCUCUGAGGGCAUUUGCAGGAUCCAGAUUUUGGCACAGAGCCCAGCACGUGAGAGGAAUUGGCAAGUACGUCCUGUGGGUGCAAAAGAAAGGGGAAUGAAUAGACCGGGGUCUGGGGGGAGCGCCCAGGGCAUUAGUUGGAUUCUGCUGCCAAGUUCAGGUGGGGAACUCAACGGGCUGUUCUAGUGUCUCAUCACCUGAGUAGAUGGGUUAAUAACGGCACAUUUCCUCCUGUGUCCACGGGAGUCCUGCUGACCCAUUCGUUCAACUAAUUUUGGGUAAGAAGAGAGAGAAAAGACAGGGGGAAAGAAAGACCCACCCUUAGAAACCCUAGGAUCUGGUGGGAAGGUGGACAAGUAAUUAAAAAUAGUGUGAGAAAUAAUGUCAGAGAUAACCAAUCCAGCUGUACUCUGGGAGCAAAGGGGAGAGGUAUCUGAGAGUGUGCAUGCAUGUGACCAGCACACGUGUGUGUAUUUACAUGUACAGCUCCCCAGUAACAGCAAACAUUUACCCAGCACUCAUUACGUGUUAGGCAAUGUUUUGAGAACUUUCCAAGAAUCACCCCAUUUAAUCCUCACACUAUGAGAUAGGUCCCAUCAUAAUCUCCAUUUUAGAGAGGAGUAAACUGAGGCAUAGAGCACUCUUAACCAAUCUGCUAUCCUGCCUCUCAUUUAAACUUCCCAGAAAUUCUACAAAUUACAUGUCAUUUCAAUUUUACAGGAGAGGAAGUAGAUUCCAAAAGCUUAAGCACUUCACUCAGUUAAUAACUGAGUUGGAAUACUUGACCAAGCUUUAUCUGAGUUCAAAAUACCAUGUUCAGUCUGGUUUCGUCAAUGGAGAUGAACACUGGAAUUUUCUGUGCCUUGGUUUUGCCAUCCAUAAAGUAGGAGAAGAUCAACCAAGUGUCAAAUAUAAAACGUUGUCAUAGUCUGGUAGUUUUUGGGGUGGAGGUAGGGUGAUAAAUUUCAAAAUUGGCACAGACCUCCUGGGACCCUUGCUGGACAGGAGAAUUCUGGAAAACAGCUUCAUUCUUGUCCUCAGCAGAUCUGACAGAGCCAGAGGAGAAAGCCCGAAAUAGAACUGACUGCCCUUUAACCUUCCGCGGGCUCAAGGGAGCUGUUUGUCUAGCUCUGAAUAACCCAUUCUAUGAAGAAUAUUCUGGGAAUUUCCUUAUGUGGCAGAGCAAUGUCUGGGUGAUUUCACCGUGCCAAAUGAGCUCUCCUCCCCAUCCCUACUGUCAGAGAUAAGAAUCAGCACUACUCAAGCCUUGAAGAAAAAAGGCUAAAAAGAAGAGGUAUAAAGAUCUUUAGAGGCAUGAAAGCUUAUCCCAAGGAAGGUGGGAACCAGUUCGUCUCCAUCAACACUGAGGCUUGGACAAGAAGGCAGGGAUUUUGAAUAAUAGCUACAGGAAUUUAGAUUAGAUAUGAAGAAGAACUUCCCGACACAGCAGAGAGUUGCUCACAUAGAUUAUAUCAGGUUCAAGGAAAUGAGCUGUGAAUCUACUUAGACCAGUGCCAUCCAGUAGAAAUAUAAUAGACCUGUAUAUGUGACUUUAAAUUUGUUAGUUGUCAUAUUAAAAAAAGUAAAACGUUGGGGCGCCUGGGUGACUCAGUUGGUUGAGCUUCUGACUCUUGGUUUUGGCUCAGGUUGUGAUCUCGGGGUCAUGUGAUUGAGCCGUGCUCAGGGCUCCGAGGUCUGCUCAGGGUCUGCUUGAAACUCUUUCUCCUUCCCUCUGCCUCUCCCCACCACUCUGCACUCUCAUGCUCUCUCUCUCUCUCAAAUUAAUAAAUAAAAUUUUUUAAACAUAAACAAAAAAUUAAAAAGUAAAAUGGUGAAGUUCAUUUUUUUAAAGAUUUUAUUUAUUUGUCAGAGAGAGAGCACAAGCAGGGGGAGCGACAGGCAGAGGGAGAA